GUACACACCGCCCGUCGCUACUACCGAUUGAAUGACUUAGUGAGUUGUGCGGAUUGUGUUUGGCUCGCGAGGGUCAGAUGUAGAGAAGCACCGCAAACUUGGCCAUUAGAGGAAGUAAAAGUCGUAACAAGGUUUCUGUAGGUGAACCUGCAGAAGGAUCA
rnacentral:rRNA from 1 species